rnacentral:lncRNA from 1 species
AACUCAAGUUCUUCUUUUUCUCUAAGAACACAAACAAUGGCCUCUGCAGACAAACCCAUAAACACAGACGUCCCUGAAAAGGAUGUUUUUGCCCUCCACUUCCUCCAAUCCCUCUCAAAUCUCAGAAGACAAAACACUUUCGAUUCUCCUGAAAAAACAAACGAUCGUGUUAAGAAAAUCAAGAAGGCUGCGUAUGUAUCCAUGGCCAGAGCAGCCGGAGGGACUAACCGGCUGUGGAGCAGAGCCCUCUUGCGCCGAGCCGCCAAAGAAAACAAUAAAGUCGUCAGGUUUCCUAGGAGGAAGAAGAGGGUGACGUGUCUGAGGAGGAGGAGUAACCGGAGAGAUCCAGUGGAGGAGGAGGAAGCGGAGAGGCUGA